CGGAGAGUGCAAGCAUUAAUCGGAAUUAUUGGGCGUAAAGGGCGCGUAGGCGGGAGAGAAAGUCAGAUGUGAAAUUCCGAAGCUCAACUUCGGAGCUGCAUUUGAAACUACUCACCUAGAGGGUUGACGGAGAAAACGGAAUUCCACGUGUAGCGGUGAAAUGCGUAGAUAUGUGGAAGAACACCUGUGGCGAAAGCGGUUUUCUAGUUUAUACCUGACGCUGAGGCGCGAGAGCAAGGGGAGCAAACAGGAUUAGAUACCCUGGUAGUCCUUGCCGUAAACGAUGUAUACUUGAUGGAGUUGGGCUCAACCCUGACUGUGUCGAAGCUAACGCGAUAAGUAUACCGCCUGAGGAGUACGCUCGCAAGGGUG
rnacentral:rRNA from 1 species